GAAAGUAAAAGUCGUAACAAGGUCUCCGUUGGUGAACCAGCGGAGGGAUCAUUAUCGAGUUCUAAACUCCCAAACCUUUGUGAACAUACCUAUGUUGCCUCGGCGGGUUCACGCCCGCCGGCGGCCAACCAAACUCUGUUUUCUAUUGAAUCUUCUGAGUUAUUUUUAAAUAAAUUAAAACUUUUAGCAACGGAUCUCUUGGCUCUG
rnacentral:misc_RNA from 1 species